rnacentral:rRNA from 1 species
UCCGCAAGUGUCCCGCGCCCUCUGAGAAAGAAACUCCUCAACCACCACAAUAAAAAGAAGUAUGACACUAUGUGUCUGACUCUAUUGGCCAUAGUUCCUUGCUGUUGCGGCCGGUGCUCGUAUGCGCAUGUCUGA